rnacentral:rRNA from 1 species
UUCGCUAGUAAUCGCGGAUCAGCAUGCCGCGGUGAAUACGUUCCCGGGCCUUGUACACACCGCCCGUCACACCAUGAGAGUCGGGAACACCCGAAGUCCGUAGCCUAACUUUAACGAGGGGGCGCGGCCGAAGGUGGGUUCGAUAAUUGGGGUGAAGUCGUAACAAGGUAGC